rnacentral:rRNA from 1 species
UACAGAGGUCUCAAGCGUUGUUCGGAUUCAUUGGGCGUAAAGGGUGCGUAGGUGGCGGGGUAAGUCAGGUGUGAAAUUUCGGAGCUUAACUCCGAAACUGCAUUUGAUACUGCCUUGCUUGAGGACUGGAGAGGAGACUGGAAUUCACGGUGUAGCAGUGAAAUGCGUAGAGAUCGUGAGGAAGACUAGUGGCGAAGGCGGCCAGCUGGGCUGUUGCUGACGCUGAUGCGCGACAGCGUGGGGAGCAAACAGG